GUACGGUCUUUGCUUUCAUAGCUAAACAUACCAGUUCCACACAUUGCUCCCGCCUCCACCAUUCCACGAGUGUCUUUUUAGAUAACUAGCUAGUCUGUGUGCCCAAGCAGCCCAUGGUGUUUUCUCUUACUUUGAUGCAGCCCAUUGAUGUUUAGACACAACAAAUCAUGGCCCCCCUUUUUUUCCUUCAUGAGCUUUAGUUUACUAAACCCUUGAUAUUCCUCAAUUGAGCUUUCUUCUUCCUUGUUUUAACAGUGUGUAUUCCCUAGUGGUUUUGCUAGUUGCCCUCUUCUUCACCAACCAUGUUUUCUCUCCAUACAUCAGAAUGUUUCUCUUCUUUGAAUUGUACUAAAGGCCAGAAAGGACAGUGCUGUUCACACCCAGGGUCCUGGUUUCUUCAUCAUGAAAGUUGACUUUCAGACUGGUCAAUCACUGAAAUCCUGCAAUUUGGCUCAGAAAUUCUAUCCAGGUAAAUGCUUUAGUGAUGAUCAAAUAGCACAAAUCACCAGAUUCUGUUUUAAAUUUAUGUUUAGGGAGUUCCCAGGCUAAGGGGUUGAAUUGGAGCUGUACCCUACACCACAGCCACUGCAAUGCCAGAUCUGAGCUGCAUCUGUGACCUACAUCACAGCUCAUGGCAAUGCCGGAUCCCCAACCUGCUGAGCGAAGCCAGGGAUCAAAUCUGCGUCCUCAUGGAUGCUAGUCAGAUUCAUUUCCACUAAGCCACGAUGGAAACUCUGUUUUAUUUUUGUUUUUAUUUUUUAUUUUUUUUGCAGAAUCUUUCAUACAUGUAGAUUUCCAUGGUGAGAAGUAGCAAUCAUCAGAGGCCUUAACCACUGCCCAUCUUGAACUUCAGCUAGAAUUAACUGAUUUUUUUUUUUUUUUUUUAGGCCUACAUCCACAGCAUAUGGAGGUUUCCGGGCUAGGGGUCAAAUUGGAGCAGUAGGUGUGGGCCUAUGCCACAGCUACACUACAGCUCACAGCAACACCGGAUCCUUAACCCAGUGGGUGAGGCCAGGGAUCAAACCCAAAACCUCAUGGUUCCUAGUCAGACUCAUUUCCAUUGCGCCACGAUGGGAACUCCCCUGUGAUUUUAAUAUGUGAUUUUUAAGGUUUUUUUCCAUGAGAGAUAUCUCUAAGCUAUAUUGACUUGUUAUUGAUAGUAUUUGAUCAUGCUUUUAAAUAUAAAUGCCAUGUAAAUAAGAUUUUAAUAUAACUGAUGACCCAUUUUUUUAAGUGGUUGUUUGCAGUUUUUAAGUAUGGGCUGCAGUGGGAAAAAUGAAGAUUCAUACAGCCCUAGCUUAACAUCUGAAAUAAAAUAUUCUAGGUUGCCUUUUUAUAUUGGAAAUAUUUUUAUAUUGGGAAAAAAAACAGAUUAGUGUCUUCGUUUUACCCAAGAACCACAAGCUACUUCAUGCCAACUUUUAAAUCAAGAUCCUGAAUAAUAGCAUGUUGUAUCACCACAUUUUAAAAACGUACUUAGUCAAUCACAAACACAUUUUCUAAGGAAUUGAAUUUUAUAGAGAUAAUUGAAUGCUUUCAUCUGUAACAGAAUUAGUGGCCUGCAAACCACUGUGGUUUCUUGCUUUCCUCUGAAGUUGUUAAAGGGGGAAUUUUCUGCUCCAAGUUACAUGCAUAAAGGAAGUAUGAUGCAAAGGAAAGUUCAGUUUUUAAAUUCUUUAGCAACAGCUACAGACAUAAAGUCAUCCUCUGAAAGUUUAACUACUUUUUAACUAAACAAUUGUUUUCCUCUUUUUUACCAUUCCAAGUAUCCAGGUGCUUAAAUUUAACAUAAGUAUAAAAUCAAAUAUGUUAGUAAAAUGAAGCUAGAUUUGGUAAAUUGAAUUUGGAGUAAAAUUUCUAGCAAUGUCUAUACAACCUCUCAAAUUAUAUGGUGUAACUUUCAUUUCCCAAAAUGUCACUUAAUUCUGUGUUCUUCCCCCUAUUUCCCAGCCUAUUCUUAUAACCUCCUGCAAUUAAAGUAACCCUUAGAAAACUGC
ensembl:lncRNA